rnacentral:rRNA from 1 species
UAAGCGGAGGAAAAGAAACUAACAACGAUUCCCCUAGUAGGCGCCGAAGCGGGAAGCGGGAAGAAGCUUAAAUUUAUAAUCUGGCACCUUCGGUGUCCGAGUUGUAAUCUCUAGAAAUGUUUUUCCCGUUGGACGCACCCAAGUCUGUUGGAAAACAGCGGCAUAGUGGUGAGACCCCCGUAUAUGGUCCGGACGCCCAGCGCCUUUGUGAUACAUUUUCGAAGAGUCGAGUUGUUUGGGAAUGCAGCUCAAAUUGGGUGGUAAAUUCCAUCUAAAGCUAAAUAUUGGCGAGAGACCGAUAGCGAACAAGUACCGUGAGGGAAAGAUGAAAAGCACUUUGGAAAGAGAGUUAACAGUACGUGAAAUUGUUGGAAGGGAAACGCUUGAAGUCAGACUUGCUUGCCGAGCAAUCGGUUUGCAGGCCAGCAUCAGUUUUCCGGGAUGGAUAAUGGUAGAGAGAAGGUAGCAGUUUCGGCUGUGUUAUAGCUCUCUGCUGGAUACAUCUUGGGGGACUGAGGAACGCAGUGUGCCUUUGGCGGGGGUUUCGACCUCUUCACACUUAGGAUGCUGGUGGAAUGGCUAGAAACGUCCA